rnacentral:lncRNA from 1 species
AUUUCCAUGUGGCUCUAAGCCCAGGCACCGAUGGCUGAGCUCUGUUUCCCAGUAGGACAAGAGGCAGCUAUGGAAUCCUCGUGAAGCCAGCUAGCCAGACUGGGCUCAUCCUGCUUUUGUUCCCUUUUCCCAGAUAACAGUGACCUGAUCGCAUGCACAGUGAUCACCAAGGAUGGCAGCAUGGUCCAGCGAUUCCUGGCUGUUGAUAUUUACCAGAUGAGUCUGGUGGAGCCUGACGUGUCCCGGCUUGGCUGGGGAGUGGUCAAGUUUGCAGGGCUUCUCCAGGACAUGCAGGUGACUGGUGUGGAGGACGACAGCCGUGCCCUGAACAUCACCAUCCACAAACCCGCAUCCAGCCCCCAUUCCAAGCCCUUCCCCAUCCUGCAGGCCACCUUCGUCUUCUCAGACCACAUCCGCUGCAUCAUUGCCAAGCAGCGCCUGGCCAAGGGCCGCAUCCAGGCGAGGCGCAUGAAGAUGCAGAGGAUAGCUGGUGAGUGGCUGGCGUGGGAAGGGUGUCCCCUGGGCCCUCGGGGCAGGAGCAGACAGGGCUGUCAGCAUGCUUCUCACACUGACCUGGAGAAGCCCCUUGGCUCCUCUAGAAGAUAUAUGUGGCU